GGACCGAGGUGCAUCCACACCAGAGGCGGACGGAACACAACUGUGCGCGGGCGACAUGACCUCAUUAAUGUGCAGACUGCUCUGCUUCAUUGGCAUCCUGGCGUCGGGAACUCUGGGAACUUUCCCACAGUUUGGGUCACGCAACCGGCAGAUCCACUCAAUAAUCUCUUUAAUCCCGCGAGAGUCCUCGCAAGUCCCUCCAAGAGUCCAUCAGCGCUUUGAAGAGAUCAAAUCCAUCGAACUAACCUCUGAUGAAGAACCGAGCGCUGAACGUUUUCAAGAGGUCCAGCUGGGUGGUCACACAGCACGAGGCUUCCAGCAGCAGCAGGGGGCCCGAGCAGGUGCCAACAACUACCUGGCGCAGGAGAGACGAAGAGCUGACAGUGGAGCUGGUGGCACUAAUUCCGGGUUUCAUCACUAUCAGUCCUCCCAUGACCAGCCGCUCUCACAGCUGCAACACAAAGCUGUAUCCUGGCAGCUUGCAGGGGACGCCAGUGUCUCUCCUGCAUCCAUCAGAGCUGACACAGCAACAAGAUCUAACUGCAGAAAUCGUCCUAUAGACCUGGUCUUCAUCAUAGACAGCUCCCGCAGUGUACGCCCCGCUGAGUUUGAAAAGGCCAAAGAGUUCCUGCAAGACAUGGUGGAGAGCUUGGAGGUCGGCUCAGACGCCACGCGAGUUGGCCUCGUCAAUUAUGCCAGCACGGUGCAGAUUGAGUUUCUUCUGAACACGUAUUUUGCCAAGUCUGCCUUGAAGCAGGCCCUGGCCCGUGUCGAGCCCCUUGCUUCAGGCACCAUGACAGGCAUGGCCAUCAAGACUGCCAUGGAGAAAGCUUUCACCGCGGCGGCAGGAGCCCGUGCUAGCUCCACGAACAUUGCCAAAGUAGCCAUCAUAGUGACAGACGGGAGGCCCCAGGACAAGGUGGAGGAUGUAUCAGCCGCAGCUCGGGCAUCUGGCAUCGAGAUCUAUGCAGUGGGAGUAGACCGAGCUGAUAUGAUGUCCCUGCGCCUCAUGGCCAGCCAGCCACAUGAUGACCAUGUCUUCUACGUGGAGACCUAUGGUGUCAUUGAGAAGCUCACUUCCAAAUUUAGGGAAACCUUGUGUGGUAAGGAUGAUGAUAAUGGGAGUGCGGAUAUUCCAUUAGAUGGCGGAAUUGAUGAUUAUGGACUAGGUGGCAGAAAAGACGGUAAAGGAAUAAAUAAUGAAAAAGAGGAUAAAGGAAACAACGGUUUGGAUGCCUGUGCUCAGGGACACAACUGCCAGCACAUUUGUGUCAACAAUGGAAACUCAUAUAACUGCAAGUGUCGCAACGGCUAUGUCUUGAACCCAGACAAGAGAACAUGCUCACGUUCAGAUACAUGUGCCCAAGGUCAUGACUGCCAACAUGUCUGUGUCAGCAAUGAUGACUCGUACCUUUGCAAGUGUCGUAAGGGAUAUGUGUUGAAUGCAGACCAGAAAACAUGCUCACAUUUGGAUUCAUGUUCCCAGGGACAUGAUUGCCAACAUAUUUGUGUCAGCACUGAUGAUUCGUACAUCUGCAAAUGUCGAAUGGGAUAUUUGUUGAAUGUAGACCAGAAAACAUGCUCACAUUUGGAUACAUGUGUCCAAGGACAUGACUGCCAGCAUAUUUGUGUCAAAAACAACGAUUCUUACCUCUGUGUUUGUCACGAGGGACAUGUGUUGAAUGCAGACAAGAAAACAUGCUCACGUUCAGAUACAUGUGCCCAAGGACAUGACUGCCAACAUAUCUGUGUCAGCAAUGAUGACUCGUACUUCUGCAAAUGUCAAGGAGGUUAUAUGUUGAAUGCAGACCAGAAAACAUGCUCACGUUUGGAUUCAUGUUCUCAGGGACAUGACUGCCAGCAUAUGUGUGUCAGCACUAACGAUUCGUACAUCUGCAAAUGUCGUAUGGGAUAUGUUUUGAAUGCAGACCAGAAAACAUGCUCACGCUCUGAUCUGUGUGCCCAUGGACAUGAUUGCCAGCACAUUUGUGAAAACAAUGAGGAAUCGUACAUCUGCAAGUGUCGUGUGGGAUAUAAGUUAAAUGCAGACCAAAAAACUUGCUCACGUUUGGAUACAUGCGACCAGGGACAUGACUGCCAGCAUAUUUGUGUCACAACUGUUGAUUCAUACCUUUGCAAGUGUCGUGAGGGAUAUGUGUUGAAUGCGGACCAGAAAACAUGCUCACGUUCAGAUACAUGUGCCCAGAGACAUGACUGCCAACAUUUUUGCAUCAACAAUGAUGCUUCGUACAUCUGCAAAUGUCAAGUGGGAUAUGAGUUGAAUGCAGACCAGAAAACCUGCUCACGUUUGGAUACAUGUGCCCAGGGACAUGACUGCCAGCAUAUUUGUGUCAAAAAUGGUGAUUCUCACCUUUGCACAUGUCAUGACGGAUAUGUGUUGAAUGCAGACCAGAAAACAUGCUCACGUUCUGAUCCAUGUGUCCGUGGACAUGAUUGCCAGCACAUGUGUAUAAACAGUGAUGACUCGUACAUCUGCAAAUGUCAAGUGGGAUAUGAGUUGAAUGCAGACCAGAAAACCUGCUCACGUUUGGAUACAUGUGCCCAGGGACAUGACUGCCAGCAUAUUUGUGUCAAAAAUGGUGAUUCUCACCUUUGCACAUGUCAUGACGGAUAUGUGUUGAAUGCAGACCAGAAAACAUGCUCACGUUCUGAUCCAUGUGUCCGUGGACAUGAUUGCCAGCACAUGUGUAUAAACAGUGAUGACUCGUACAUCUGCAAGUGUCGAACAGGAUAUAUUUUGAAUCCUGACAAGAAAACAUGCUCACGUUCAGAUACAUGUUCCCAGGGACAUGAUUGCCAACAUAUUUGUGUCAGCGAUAACGACUCGUUUGUCUGCAAGUGUCGAAUGGGAUAUGUAUUGAAUGCAGACCGGAAAACAUGCUCACGUUCAUCUUUGGAUGCAUGUGCCCAAGGAAAUAACUGCCAGCACAUUUGUGUCAACAAUGGGAACUCAUACAUCUGCAAGUGUCGAGUGGGAUACAUGUUGAACAUGGAUCAGAAGACAUGCUCACGUUCCAAUGCAUGUGCUCAGGGACAUGACUGUCAGCACAUUUGUAUCAACAACGGUGACUCGUACAACUGCAAGUGUCAAGUGGGAUACGUGUUGAAUGCAGAUCAGAAAACAUGCUCACGUAAGGUUCUGGAUCAUCUUUUCAACAAACAAAAUGGUGCAUGUGUAUUUAAACCUUUCUAGAGAUUUCCCAUAUUUUGAAUCAGUUCUAGCCUAAAUAAUCUUUCCCCCAACCGUCUUAUAUUAUUGCCUUGUGAGCUCUCUUGUACAACUAGUGUUGGGCACUAGUUGAGACAAUGUGCCAGACUGGCACUAACUUUGGAGUCCUCAAAGGUACAAGGAGCAACCAGGUUUCAACAGCUGACCGGAGGCUACUUGAAUACUGUUUCUCUAUAAAACUUGAAGAGGCUUUAUCAAAGACGGGUGCUUGACUUGACAAGAGCUAUUCGAAACCAUGCAAGACGAUUUAAGCUGUGGAGACAUCUGCAGUUGACUGCAUUCAAAACCACUAUCCAACGACAAGCAAUACUUCUACUGAUCCAGUCAUUAACAGCACAGUUUAAAGGACAUACAAGUGUGCUGUGCUGCUGGUCGAAGGAAUGAGGCACUGCAAUAGAAGUUGUGGUGGGAGCCCACUGAGAACUUUGGUCCAAGUGAAGGACCAAACAAUAUUGGUUGUAAUUGAUUUGCCUAUUGUCUGUUGUGAUUGUAUAAUGUUUAGUGAAUUGGUCUUGUAUGUAUACGUGAGUAUAUUGCUCAAAUGAUUAUUAACAUGUGUCCUAUUUAACGCUAUCCAGUCCUCAGAAACUGAGCACUCCUAGGUUGUGAUUAUCUAGUUGAAUUGAUUGAAUUUAUUUUUUACAUAUUUCCUAAUCUCACUCACAAAAGAAAAAUCAUGAUUGUUCUUGAUCUCUUGCUAUAUUGAUCAAUCAAUAUCCAUUAUGUUUAUGUUUCCAUGUAAAAACAACACCUAACUUUUAUCUGAUUUCGUCAGCACCAAAAUUAAACAUCAGCAUCGACUCUUUUGGGGAGGGACAUAAAAUGGGUUAUGUUGUUUUUUUUAACUAAGCAGCCACAUGGAGUAUUACAAAGAGGCAUCACUAAACAUUGUGAAACACCAUUCUCAUGCUUUGACCUUUUCUAUAUUUUUUUCUCAUUCUUUCAGAGGAAAUGAGAAGCGAGAUAACUCAAGAUGCCUGCAUGUGUGAGGCUCAGAUUGUGUUCCAGAAGAAAGUACAGUCAACCAUUCAGGAGCUGAGCA